rnacentral:lncRNA from 1 species
GAUGGAUUUGCUAUAUGUUAACUCACAAUGCCCUUUCCUCCAGAAUUUAACUAUAAGUUAAUACACACCGGAAACCACGCGCAUACACGCCCGUUAAUGGGCUUAGGUAUUAGCGAGUCCUAACGAUGCAUACAAAUGUGCUCUGUGCUCUGUAGGCCCCUCAAGAUUUAUGGGCCUUGAGCUCUCUGAAGCUGUAAACAAGGAGAAAAAAAGAGAAAGCGAGAGAGACUGGGGGAAAGAGACAGAGGCCUGAAUCGCCCCUCCAGAUUGUGGGAGAGAAGGGAUUUUUAUAUUUUUUCCUUGCCUUAGGAGCUCGAGCCCAGCGGAUUUCUGUAAAGGAAGCGAAGACCGAGGUCCGGGUUCCUGCAGUGUCAGCCUCCUUCUCUCCAGGCCUCUCUACUUGCCCAGUUCUCACCCACCAGGACACUGACGGAAGGGGCUUCUGGGCUGCCCCCCACCCACUCCUGCUUGGCUUCCCAAAGUCCAGCGACCUCCAACCCUCCUUGGGGAAAAAAUACCUGUACCCAGGCACCUUAGCCCCCUGUGCUAUGUGACCGGGCUCCCUCAGGAAUAUUGUACAAAGAAGAAGAAAGAACAGCUCACUCGGGAGCCGUGUUUACAUCUAGUUGUACUGAUCCAUCCACAUCUGGAGGGUUUAUUUAUAACUCCUUCUAUAACUCUUUCUAUUCAGAGGCACUGGUGGCUCUAUUGACAGACUGAUGCCUACAAAAUAUUGCUCUAUCUCUAACCAUACCUAAAUGUUCUGUGGUUGUAUUUACAGAUUUAUGCUUGAGGAAAAUAUAAUUAUUUCCAUUGUAUUUGUGCAUAUACAAUAGUUAUAGGAGCAGAUUUAUAUAUGGGAAAAUAUAUGACUCUCUUACAGCCAUCCAGUUUUAUGGACAUUUGAUAUCCUGACAGAUUUAUAUCUCUGAGCAGC